rnacentral:rRNA from 1 species
AUGAACGCUAGCUACAGGCUUAACACAUGCAAGUCGAGGGGCAGCAUUUUAGUUUGCUUGCAAACUAAAGAUGGCGACCGGCGCACGGGUGAGUAACACGUAUCCAACCUGCCGAUAACUCGGGGAUAGCCUUUCGAAAGAAAGAUUAAUAUCCGAUAGUAUAUUAAAACCGCAUGGUUUUACUAUUAAAGAAUUUCGGUUAUCGAUGGGGAUGCGUUCCAUUAGUUUGUUGGCGGGGUAACGGCCCACCAAGACUACGAUGGAUAGGGGUUCUGAGAGGAAGGUCCCCCACAUUGGAACUGAGACACGGUCCAAACUCCUACGGGAGGCAGCAGUGAGGAAUAUUGGUCAAUGGACGAGAGUCUGAACCAGCCAAGUAGCGUGAAGGAUGACUGCCCUAUGGGUUGUAAACUUCUUUUAUAUGGGAAUAAAGUAUUCCACGUGUGGGAUUUUGUAUGUACCAUAUGAAUAAGGAUCGGCUAACUCCGUGCCAGCAGCCGCGGUAAUACGGAGGAUCCGAGCGUUAUCCGGAUUUAUUGGGUUUAAAGGGAGCGUAGGUGGAUUGUUAAGUCAGUUGUGAAAGUUUGCGGCUCAACCGUAAAAUUGCAGUUGAAACUGGCAGUCUUGAGUACAGUAGAGGUGGGCGGAAUUCGUGGUGUAGCGGUGAAAUGCUUAGAUAUCACGAAGAACUCCGAUUGCGAAGGCAGCUCACUAGACUGCAACUGACACUGAUGCUCGAAAGUGUGGGUAUCAAACAGGAUUAGAUACCCUGGUAGUCCACACAGUAAACGAUGAAUACUCGCUGUUUGCGAUAUACAGUAAGCGGCCAAGCGAAAGCAUUAAGUAUUCCACCUGGGGAGUACGCCGGCAACGGUGAAACUCAAAGGAAUUGACGGGGGCCCGCACAAGCGGAGGAACAUGUGGUUUAAUUCGAUGAUACGCGAGGAACCUUACCCGGGCUUAAAUUGCAUUUGAAUAAUCUGGAAACAGGUUAGCCGCAAGGCAAAUGUGAAGGUGCUGCAUGGUUGUCGUCAGCUCGUGCCGUGAGGUGUCGGCUUAAGUGCCAUAACGAGCGCAACCCUUAUCUUUAGUUACUAACAGGUCAUGCUGAGGACUCUAGAGAGACUGCCGUCGUAAGAUGUGAGGAAGGUGGGGAUGACGUCAAAUCAGCACGGCCCUUACGUCCGGGGCUACACACGUGUUACAAUGGGGGGUACAGAAGGCAGCUACCUGGCGACAGGAUGCUAAUCCCAAAAACCUCUCUCAGUUCGGAUCGAAGUCUGCAACCCGACUUCGUGAAGCUGGAUUCGCUAGUAAUCGCGCAUCAGCCAUGGCGCGGUGAAUACGUUCCCGGGCCUUGUACACACCGCCCGUCAAGCCAUGAAAGCCGGGGGUACCUGAAGUACGUAACCGCAAGGAGCGUCCUAGGGUAAAACUGGUAAUUGGGGCUA